GGAUUUAGCUCAGUGGUAGAGUUCUUGCCUGCCAUAUGUGAGUCCCUGGGUUUAAUCCCCAGUAUCACA
rnacentral:tRNA from 1 species